GAAUCUUCUGAUUAUGAGGCAUUCCCAGAACUACUUUAUAAUAAGCUUUGGUAGAAAUACUGGAAUGAAUGUUAGAAAUAUAUUCCUCAGGAUUUUCCAAGAUUUGUUCUUAUAUCACCAGAAAGCAGUGUGCAUCACCCUUGCAGGGAACAGAUACUUGAGAAAAUAGAUGCUGGUGCAGGUCUUCCUGGGUUGAAUCCCAGGUCCACCAUUUGCCUGUGGUAUGAACUUGAGCAAGUUACCUAACUUCUCUGUGCCUCAUCUUUACAGUGGGGUAGUAAGGGAUUUCCACAUCUAUUAAUGAAGUUCUAGACAAUUUUAACCAACCCUCCUAAUUAAGGCAACUAGAAAACAUACUCUAAAAUAUACAUUUAUAUGUGUAUGUUAAAAUAUUAAUAUAAAUUUUAGACACACACACACACACACACACACACACACACACACACACAGUGCUUGAAGGCAUCAGAGUUUACAAGACAGUGAAGGAUUACCAGGCCAGGAUCUAGGGGAGAUGGAAAGGUCAGGAAUGCCAUGCUGGUGUGUUCUGAGCUGCUUUUCUGGGGGCAUUUGGUGUUUCUAGGAGCAGGGAUAGAGAGUGUGCCGUGGGGCUGAGUGUUACUUUUGGCAACUUUGUCUGGUUGAGGGAACAGGGAUUGGCUGAGGAUGGGAGGACCUAUGAAGCUCCUUGUUUGGGUUGGGUCUCUUAAAAACUCACACUAGGAAUAAGGAUGAACCAGAAUUAGGCCCCACAGCACAGCUACGAUCUGCCCAGCAAUGGAAAACAGGAUGAGGUGACCCUGAAAGCAAGUGCAAAUUCUAGGAAGAAUGAAUUUGGUAAUGAUUGAGUUCUUCUUAAGUUAACUGGUGGGUUCCCUUGCCUCUUUUACUUUGCUACAAUGUAGGAUACCAGGGUCUAAAUAAAUCCUGAGGCUUAUCUAGCCUUGUCUUUGUGGGUCAUUGUGUGCAACCCCCCCCCCCAUAAUCUAGCAAUCCAAAAUAAACAUUGAUUUCUUUAUAUUAUUUUCAUUAUCUGCCUCUUUUUGUCCCCAAGGCAAUCCCUUCCCCAAGCCAGCAUUACUCCCUCCUUUUAUAUUUUAUAUAUCCCUGAAAAUUUCUCUAUGGUAUCCCCAAAAUAUGGUAUUAAUUGCUGUCUUUCCCCCUUCCAUUUUCCUCUUGCCUACUACCUCUCCAUUUUUACCCUUUCUGGAGAAAGACCUUUCCUCCACCGAUCCUUUCUAAUACAGAUAACCCAUCUUGGCUUACAAGUUUCUUUCACUGCACAAUUAGACCACAGAGCUCUAGGAAAGUGGAAAAUACCAAAAUGACAUUGCCAGAAAUUUCCUUGAUUGGGAGACGAGGUGGGAGGGAGGCCAUGAAUGCCCAUGCCUAUGUGCCUAUUAAACUUUCCAUCUAUUGCCCCUAACUUCUCUAGUUUACUCUGGACAGAUCAAAAUCCCUGUCAGAUAUCUGUGACAGGAGGAACUGUCAGGUUCAGCUGCCUCUGCCAGAAUUAAUCACUGUCCUUUCCCAAACGGAGGCAGAGAAUGGGAAAACUCUCUAAUGGCCAACAUGUCAGAUUUAGUAUUUAAUCCCUCCCCUCUGCCCCCAAGAAUCUCCCCUCCUCUCCUCCAGUUCCCAUUCCUCUUAUAAUGAAAGAUUAUUCAUCUAAUAGACACCUUGAGAUAGAGGCUGCCACGAGAAGUUCCUCUUCUCCACAACAGAAGCAAAUAUUGACUAAUAUUGACUAUGUCCAGUACUCUACGUUUGGCCAGCCCAAAAGGCCGAGAGUGAUCCCUACUUACAUGGACUUACCCAUGCUGAGUUCUUUCAAAUCUCCUUUCGUCAUAGGAUACCUACCUGCACUGGAGCAAUUUGGUGCCCAAUCUGCAAGAAGAUCUGUCUCUCAUCGUCCCUGAUUGGGCUUUGGAUCCUAUUUAUGAUCACCUGGGAAAAAUUCAAUAGGAUGGAGUAUCCUUGCUAUAACUUCUAGUUUCCUAAAUCUGCUCAAUGCCUCUGGUGCCAGCCCCGUUAGAUGAUCCUGAAGGUCAUUAAAAUUCAUUCUUUAUUCUCCUCAAACUGAGGUCUGCUUCACCAGUAGUGAGAAUUCGUGAGGCUCUCUCUUUGGGAUUAAAACCCAGCAAACCAUGGCUCGCUCACCUAGUUGCUCCAACCAGUAGAUUUGCCAAGCUUCAUUCCAUCCCUCCUGGCAGACAGUCUGCUUUAGGAAUUCUUCCAGCCACUUACUUCUUAUGGGCACAUCCUCUCAAAACCAUUCAUAACAUUAAUGGCAGCUGUUUUAGCUUUGACUUCAUAAAUCACCCUGGUGUAGGAUGUUAGAUGCUAGCAUCUCUUUUUUGUGUGUGUCUGUGCAUCUUUGUAUCAUUUUGGUGGAUGAUCAAAUCACAACUCAUAGCUUUUUAUUUGGCCCUUUCUUAGCAUGGUAUUUCCCAUAAAUGUCUCCAGUUUCUGGGAGCUAUUGUUCUGUUCCAAUGGUUCCAAACCCUGCUUGAAGUUGACUUCCACAGCAGUAGCCAGAUCCUUCUGGAAUGAAUCUAUUCACCACCAGUGGAGCAGGGCAGCUUUCGACUGCUCCAAGCAGGAUUGAAAUAGGCCUUCUUUCUCUGUUGACAAAGGAAUAUAAUUUCUUAAGAAGUUAGAUAGCCAUUGAAGCUGUCUUAAAGCUAAUGUCCAGUUCAUAAUUUCACAAGGGAAGUCUUCUUUUUUAAAGACAAUGUCGAUUUAAUUCAUUAUAUGUGCUUCAUAAAUCUGAUUUCCAAGUUGGAGCUAUUUUUCCUUCUUCCCCUCCCAAUUGGAGUUCUCAUUUCAGCAAAGCAUGAACCACAUUGCUCUGGCUCUCUCGAGUUAUUUCGAAAGCCACUCUCCAGUUCCCACUUCUUUAUUUCAUUGUUCCAAGAGUCUGGCCUUCAUACCAAAAUGCACCAUUGACUCAGGUGAUCAUUUAAAUCAAGGUGCACUUGGAUCACAAAAUCCAAAGACUUGGAAAUUCACUCCCAAAAUGUAACCUGUCUACAUUUAGUGACUCUAAAUGGUUCAGUUUUCUAGCCAACACAACUCAGCCCAGAAGCUGGAACAUGAAUAAUCCUAUCUCUGGAAAAAUACUAAGGAGAGUCCAGUUCAUUAUCCAUAAUGGCAUUUUUAAAAAGCUCAUCCCAUCUCUUUGUUUUGACUAUCCUUUAAUUCCCACCCCUCUGCUCAUUCUUCAAACUUUUCCCUGGACCCUUUUUAUAUAAGCUCUCAUUUUUUUCCCCCUGUUUCCCUUUUCCUUCCAUGUGUCCUUUUUUUUUUUUCUUAUUUUCACAAAUCUCAUUUUUUUCUGCUCCAAAUCUUUUUAUCUUCUAUUUUCCUUUGGCCCCUCUCUUCACCUGGGUGCUUUGAAUUUGUAUAAUAAGGUUUAGGGGGAAGGAGGAAGGCAAAGGAAGAAAUAGGAUAUAGCUAAGCUGUUCCUCACUGGGCAGUGGUGGUUAUCAAAUACUCAUAAAUUAAUGUUGUCUCUAUCACAUUACAAUGAAAUAAUAAAUUAUAGCUGAUAUAAUUUGUUGCCUCUAUGGACCAUAUUCUUACCCACCACCUCCCCCCACCCUGCUCCCCCUUUUUGCUCUCUGGGUUUGACACUUUGAGUCUUUUUCUAAAACUAGAAAUAAAACAAUUGUUCUUUCUUUCUUCUGCAACAUUUACUUAUAGCAAUUUUCACAUUUGAGUGAAAGAUGUUCUAACGAGUUCCCAAGUUAGCAGAAUUAAUUCAGUUCAGUUCUUUUCAUUUGCUCAGGGUAAAUUGGGGUGUAGAAAAAGAAAACUCUCAAAUUUGCUGCUCCAGCACAGGAAGAAUUUUGCCUCUACCUCUCUGCUUCUCUCCCUGUUUCUGUCUUAAGCUCCCAGCAAAGAAUGUGCAACUGCUAAUGUUUGUGUGUUUGUUUUCUGUAUGCAAUUUAAUUUUAUAUGUAAAAACCUCUCCAGAGGGCUACAUUCUUCACAGCAUGACACCACUGUCAACUCAGGGAAACAGGCUCUCCAUCAAAGGAAGCAUCAUUAAUUAGUUUUCUUUCAGAAAAAUAAUGCCAACAGGAAAUUAGAAUUUAUUGUAAAAGUUUGCAAAAAGUUCUCUAGUUUAGGUAAAAUUCAACAGACUUCUAUUAUUGACCUAGCUCGGCGAGCACAGAAAGAUGGGGAUUUCUCAUAAAAACUUCUAAACCACACAUCACAGCCUAUAUGAAAAAAAGAAAACAAUUAGACUGAGCGACUGGAUAUGUUUCCAUUUACAGUAACAGCCAUGAGAUACUAAUGAACCCUUCUCAAAUCUGAUUCCUGAACCAACUCAGUAUUCCCCAAUACACACUUAACUAGAAGAUUUUGAGAUACUUUUCCUAUGUGUGUGAUAAUUUCAAAAUCCUCAAAAUCAUUCUUAUAAUUUACCUUUAGAUUUGAAAACAUUAAAAGUUAGUACUUUGAGAUUUUCUGUUAUAAAGCCUAAUUGGAAGUUAUUAUUUCAGUUUUCCUGGAAGUUUAAUACCUAGUACAGCAGAUACUGUUUUUGAAAUAUGUUUUGUGAGAAUUCUGAGUGUAACUCAAGAGGUUUUAAUUAAAUGGUUGUACCUCCCAUGUGUUCUAUAGAAUUGCUUCAUUAAGCAAGUCUCUAUUAAAUAUAUCUAUAUCAGUUUUGUACUGCUGCUGUAUGUAACAAAUUACUAAAAAUUUAGUGGCUUAAAACAACAUAAGUUUAUUGUCUUACAGUUCUGGAAGUCAGAAGUUCAAAAUGGGUCUCAAGGGGCUAAAAUCAAGGUGUCAGUGGGGAUGAUUUUUUCUGGAGGCUCCUGGAAAGAAGCCAUUUUCCUCACUCUUCCAGCUUCCAGAAGCCACCGGCAUUCUUUGGUUUCUGGCCACAUCAUUCCAAUCUCUGCUUUUGUCAUCACAUCACCACCUUCUUCUCUAUUGGCCUUAUGACCUCUCUCUUGUAAAAACUCAUGAUUACAUAUAGGCCCACACAGAUCGUCUAGAAUAACCUUCCAAUUUUAAUGUCCUUAAUUUAAACACAUCUGUAAAAUCCCUUUGCCAUGGUAACAUAUUCACAGGUUCCAGGGACAAGGAUGUGAACAUCUUGCAGGGGAUGAGAGGAGUCAUUCAGCCUACCAUAGCAUCUUAUAUGGCCCACUCCAUUCAGGACACUGGAGAUGCAACUGUGGAAUAGAGAGACGAGCAUAUGACUUCAAGGAGUUUACAUUCUAGUGGGGACACCAAUACUAAUAAAUAGACAAAUGGGAAAUGACUUAAAUUUCAGAUUCUCCUAAGUGCUAUGAAGAAAAUAAAGCAGGAUAAGGGGUGGGGUUAAGGAAGGAGAAUGCAAUUUUAAAUAGUGUUCAAGGAAGUCCAUUCUGAAAAGGCAACAUUUAAAUAAUUUCUUGAAUAAGGAGAGAGAGCCAACUCUAGAAAAAUCUAGAAGAUAACUGUUUCUUGGAAAAUAAGAGCAAUCACAAAGGCUCUGGAACUAGAAUAUAUCUUCAAGUAAAAGUAAACAGAGGGUGAAUGGUUGUUGAUGAAGCAUUCAGUGUGUGUGUGGCGGGAGGCGGCAAAUCCUGUAACACGUUGAAGGCCACUUGGCAACAAGUAUGGAUCUUAUUCCAAAUGUGAUGAAAAGUCAUUGUAAGGUUGAAAGCAGAGGAGUGACAUGAUUUGACUUGUUUUCAAGUUCAUCUUCAGGUCAUCAGCUCCAGUGAGAGAAAAUGGUAGCCUAGACCAUAGUGAUUGAAACACAAGUAUUGAUUAGUGAUGGGAAUUGGGAUAUAAUUUAAUAAGAAGCCACUAGGACUUUGCCAAUAGAUUGGAUGUGGAAGGUGAAAGGGAAAGAGAAGAAUUAAUAAUGUUUCCUAGGUUUUUGGCCUGAGCACCUGAGUGAAUGAUUCAUGAAAGAUGGAAUUAUUGGAUUAAGCUACAAUUAUGGACUGAAUGUUAGUGUCCCCCGCUUCAAACUCAUAUGCUGAAGCCCUAGCCCCUAGUGUGAAUGUAUUUGGAGAUAGGUCUUGUAAGGAAGUUAUAAGGUUAGGUUAAUUCAUAAGGGCUGGGUCCUAAUAUGAUAGAGCCAGUGUCCUUAGAAGAAGAGGAAAAUAUACCAGAGUGCUCCCACUUUCCUCUCUCUGCCAUGUGAGGACACAGUAAAGAGUCAGCUAUUUGCAGGCCAGGAAAGCUCUCCCUGGAACCAAAGCAGCUAGCACCUUGAUCUUGAAAUCCCUAGCUUCCACAAUUAGGAGAAAAUAAAUUUCUGCUGUUUAAGCCACCAAUCUGUGAUAUUUUUUUAUAACACCCCAAGCUAACUAAGACUCCUCCCAAUCAUUAAGAGUGAAGACAAUUCCAUCUCUUAAUCCCAGAGUGCUUCCUACUGGCUUAUAUGUUAGCGGCAAAUCUAAAGAUAUGAAGUGAAUGCCUCUUACAUUCAUGAACUUGUAGAAAAAUUCAGAGACCUUAUUUUAGUAAUUGCUUAUGCUUUAAUGUGUUGAUCAACUGUUUGCAUUAUCAGUAAGGCUUCUGGUCAACAGUAGGAUAUUAGUUGUCAAGUUUUUAGGGAGUCAAAUGUUAUCCUCAGAUUUUCAACUGUGCAGAGGGUUCAGCUCCUCUAACGCCGUUGUUGCUCAAUGGUCAACUGUAUUGUCAUUUUAUAAGACUUCUUGAAGUAGAUCAAUAGUGAAGGAGUGGCUCAUUUUAGGAAAGCUGAUACCCAAAAAUGUAUACAGACAAACACCUUAAUGGGAGAUGCUCAUUCAAAAUUACUACUCAUUUUCUUGAAGUAGUAAUUCAUAGUGGUGCAUUUGACCAAGGGUCUGAUUUCUAAAAUUUCAGACCAAGCUCAAUAUUUCUGAAGAGCAAUAUUUCAUCAACAUACAGGCAUCCCCCACCUUGCUCCCUUCUAGAAAUCCACCUUUUUGGAAGUCUGCUUUAAGCCACUUGGCUUUUACAAAAGACCUACAUUAAUACCUGUUUUCUCUAACAAAAAGAAAUUCGAAGAGGAUUGUUGGUUUUACCAAAAAAAAUGUGAAAAUGUGAAAAAAGCAAAUAGCUUCUAGUGUUUGUUUUGCAGCAAGCCCUUACUGAGGCAGAGCACUCUCCAAGCACUGAGUGGCCCCACCAAACUCCUUCCAUGGACCUACACUCAGCAUCUCAGCAUCAAGCCUUUAUAGCUUUGAACCGUGUCUGUGAGCAUCUGUGUUUGAUUGAUUUUGUGCAUCCCUCAGCCAAGUAUGUCCUAAGGUCUCAGAAAAGCUCAAGAAAAGCUAUUUUUUGGUUCUGAAAACAGUAAAAAAUUCUUGCAUAUAAAAUGGUAAUUGCUUCUUUGCUUUAUGCCAUUUUGGCUUUCAAAGUGUUCAUAGGAACACUCUACUUUUGGAUAGUGGAGGAAACCUGUACCCCUGAAAAUGCACCUUCAAACAGUAUAGUGGAGUUAAACACGUGUUAGAUAUUCGGUCUCUCUUUGCCAAAGAAAUUUUGUUCAGGGGCAGAAGAUGAAUUGCCAAAAAGUUGCAAUUUUUUUUUAAUUUUUUUUAACGUUUAUUUAUUUUUGAGACAGAGAGGGACAGAGCAUGAACAGGGGAGGGGCCGAGAGAGAGGGAGACACAGAAUCUGAAACAGGCUCCAAGCUGUCAGCCCAGAGCCCGACGCGGGGCUCGAACUCACGAACUGUGAGAUCAUGACCUGAGCUGAAGUCGGACGCUUAACCGACCGAGCCACCCAGGUGCCCCCCCCCUUUUUUUUAACGUUUGUUUAUUUUUGAGACAGAAAAGUUGCAAUUUGAACUGAAUAUAACUGCAUAUGUGAUGACUUAGAGGAAUUUUUGUUAGAUUUUUAUGUAAGAUAAUGGUAUUGUGGCUAUGACUUUUUAAAAAGAAACUUUAUCUUUUAGAGAUAGACGAAAUAGUAUGAUGUCUAGAAUUUGCUUCAAAAUAAUCCCACAGCAAGCUGUGGGGAGAGAAUGGAAGAGAUAAGAUUGGCCAUGAAUUGGCAACUGUGAAAGUUGGGUAGUGGUUAAGUGGAGAAAAUGUCAUUAUACUGUUCUCUUUGCUCUCAAAUCUGUUUGAAAUUUUCCACAAGAGAAAGUUAAAAGGUGGCCAUCCCAUUGUUAAUGGCAGUCUGGGUAGGGACUCAGGUCUCAGAGUCUCAGCUCAGUGCUCUGUCCUCAUUACCAGCCUUUCCCAAACCUGUGGUAUCUUUCCUAAAAAAUAUAUACACAUGUUAAAAGACAAUUUCACCCAGGGGUAAAAUGACUGACAUAGAGAUAUAAAAAUGAGUAUAUGUUAAAGAUUUUAUUUAACUCGUAAUCAGUGAAAGAACCAGACAGAAAAUGUUGACACAUUUCUAGAUCAGGAGCAGUAAGACAAACGUGCAAAUGGAAGCAAUACUGAUGUUUCUAUAAGACAGGAAGGGAAGUCUGUUGAACGUCUACAGCAUGGGACUAAAUCUGUUUGUUUCUAGACGAGAGUGAUAUUGCAUUUCCAUCAGAUGUCUAUGACUUACAGAGUCAUACAAUAGCUCAAAGACAAUGAGGGACUAAAAUCAGAUAACCUGGAAGGUUGGCAUCUAAACACUUAUAAUUUUCAAUGAAACACAUGUUUGUUCCUAUGUGUAUUUCUGUCAGGGGUUAUCUAUUAGGGAUAAACAGAACACACUUUGGGAAAUGACUUUAGAAGCUGCUGCCUUUCUGUGUGUCAAUCACAGAAAAUGGGAAAAGACACACACAAGAUAGAUUGUGUCUCAUUAGUUGAAUUUGAAUUCCAGGUACUGCCCAUUUUAUAUGUAUCCAAACAUUUUGAAAACUUAGGUAUAAUCUAUGGGCAGGAAUUAUUUAACAUUAUCAGAUAUUGAUUUUUGGAGCGGUAGGGAGUGACUCCAGAUUGGAAAAAAUAAUAAAAAUACAUUUCAUUUCUAUUGAGAAACAUUGGCCAAAAAUAAAUAACCUGCCUAUAUGACCGUAAUUUUAAAUCUGCUGUUUUAUAUUUCCUGUGCUUUUUGAACUUGAGAAUUGUUUCCUGCACAUUGAACAUGAUGCCAUCUCCUUUCUGGAAAAUGUUGAUUGUCUGUCAAUACUGAAAUCUCAUUAACAGACACUUUCCUGCUACUGAGAGCUGAAAAGGCAGAAUAAUGUGUAUGACCCAUAUCCACAUGACUUCUCGGAAAUCCCAUUAAGAUAAAGAGCUGAGAAUUAUGGAGCUGGCCUGGUUCCCACUGUUGUCUCACUGAACUGUAGGGAUGGGUGUGGAUAGUAAGAGGAGAAAAAGGUAGACACAGGUCUGCUGAGGACUUGUGAGAAAAUACCACAGGCUAAUUUAUCAUCAUUGUCUUCAGAAGUGACAUAAGUGCUCACUGGGGACAACUUUGAAAGCCACUUCAUAGAGAAAAUAUGAGAUGGAUUUUUCCAAUUGUCAUUCUGUUGUAAAUUCACCAUAUUCUUUUCAACAAUCCCUACCUCUUUUAUUUUUAAAGUUUUUUUUAAUGUUUUUUGAGGAGAAGGAGAGGCAGAGAGAGAGGGAGUCAGAGAAUCCCAAGCAGGCUCCACAGUCAGUGUGGAGCCCCAAUGCAGGGCUUGAUGUCAAACCCUGGGGUCAUGACUUGAGCCAAAUCAAGAGUCAUACAUUUAACCAACUGAGCCACCCAGGUGCCCCAACAAUUCUUACCUUUUUUGUGAUGUUUCUCUUAAAUAAAGAGUAAAAAUAGGAUUCUUAACUACAUAUAUAUUUAACUUUCAAGAGAUAGUCCUUCUGUCAGUAAAGCAUGGCUCAGGAAAAAGAAAGAGAGAGCUGUAAGGUUUCAUUAUAAUAUUAUCUCGUUCUAGCUCAGGAAGAAAGUCAGCCAUAAAAAAAACCCUGUGAUUUGUCUUUUUGCUCAAGGGACUGAACACCUUGGACACCUGAGAAACUGCUUUUACUUACUAUGAUGAGCUGACUGGUAGAUUUCACUCAGGUGCUGCAAAGAAGUUGAAAGUGGCCUUUGUUUUCCUGAUUAUGAGGCUGUUGGCAUGAGUAUGUGCGGCCUGGGACUCUUCACUGCCUUCAGUCCAUGAGCCAGGUUGACCAGGCAACCACCGUUAGAACAUGGCUGGCUGCUGUGACGAGGAAGAGAGAGAGAGUGCGCACGCACAAACACAAGUGGAGAAGGAGCAGAGAAAGAGAGAGAGGGAGACAAUCCCAAGCAGGCUGUAUGCUGUCAGUGUGGACCCCUACAUGGGGGGCUCGAACCAACGAACAGGGAGAUCAUGACCUGAGCCAAAAGCAAGAGUGGGACGCUUAACCGACUGAGCCACCCAGGCACCACCAUCAGGAAAUGAUGUUUUAAGUAAGCAUUUUAUAUCCUGAUAUGUAGUUUAGACUUUCACGUAGAUGUUCUACUUUGUCUCUGUUUUUAGGACAUUGGUUGAGGA